UUUAGAGUGGAACAAAAAAAGUCUCAGUGGUUUCUCAGUCAGUGUGAACCAAAACCGUAGCACAGGUCAUUGGAUGUCCUUACCAAACGGGCAUCCUGACACACAAAACUAAGGCCACAAAUCCUAAGAGGAAACCUGAAAUCUGGCCCCAGUGGCAAAAGAAACAAAUUCAUCUUUGCAUCAACUUUCAUCUCAGUUUUGAAAGGCAUCCUGGUGUGUCCCAGGGCACACUGAAUCUGUGUUACCUGUGUUAGUUCUCUGUCACAACUCCAGCCUCAGCUGCCAUGGCUACCCCUUCUCGUGGCUGUGAGAACACGAGUUCCCAUAAACAGUGCACAGAGGAGCUAAGAAGUCUAAAACCUCCACGGAGGCUUCAGACGGCAUGCAAACUGCGUGAUGAGAAAUCAGAAGACAUUCGGUAGACAUUGGAAAAUGCUGCGGAAACCAGCUGUAUGAGAAGGGAACGUUUUCUGCACAUGCUUAGUUGGCACCAGCUACAGCCCAUCCUCGAUUCCAGGUGUUGCCAAUCCACGUUCACAAAUGACCAAGUCCCUGCUUCAAGGAAUUUCCUUUCCAAUGGAAUGCACUAGCACCGUGCUACCCGAAGGAGAUUCACCGCAAAUAGACGUGUGCCCUCAGAGGCCAUCAUGGCUGAGAUGAGGAAAACAAGUGACAGGGAGCCAAGCAAGGACAAAGGAAGGGACAGCAGCAGACUCUUCUCAUUGUUGAAGAAGAAGAGAGUGAAGCUGAAGAAACCGAAAGGCCAUGUUAGAAACAGAACUAACUGAAAUCACCCAUUUUAUGGUCAAGCGUUCUUUCCUUACCAAAGCUCAAUUGAUUCAGGGAUUUCCCCUAUAAAAGCUGAAAGCACUCUAGAACUGCUUAAGUGAGUGUAGUUCAGAGGCAGCCUUAUUAAGUAGUCUGCUUGAUUUAUCCUACAAAUAAAUAGAAUAAGGACUACUGGUGAGUUUAGUCAAGGAUUUGAGUACAUGGGAGGGAUGGUAUCAAUGAAGAGGAACUAAUUGCAGACAUGGGAUGAAGAAUAGAGUUCUGUUUUAUAGCAACCAUGGAGGUAAAAGUGCUAAAGUCCUUGUUAAACAGAUUAUCAUUCAUUACUCUCAUAGACUUCCUGGACAAAGCCCUCUAAUACCUCAGUGGGAAAAGGCCAGGCUCAGGUGUUGGCAGAGUUGGAAUCCAGCUCCCAUAAGGCUGCCUUUCCUAAAAACCACACAGAAGCAAAUUUAGACUAGCUCAGAAUACAUUUUAAAAGGAACAGUUCAUGCAGGGAGGGAGAAAAUACUCUUUGGGUUUUGUUCAAAAGCAAAUGAAUAGGCCAGAGUUAGGCAAAAGGCACUAUUUCCCCAGACCCUAGCUUCUUAACCGUGGGUCAGAGCCCUCGUCAGGUCAAGAGUUCACGGGCAUCUUGGUUCUGAGCACACCAGUGUGUAUACUUUGCAUUGUGCAUGGCAGCUGGCCACUCAACAAGCAGCUCAAGUUCAAGACUAA